ACAGUCUGUGAGUGCUACAUUGUACAGCCACACUCACGGAUGCCCAAUCCUCCCUGGUUCCCCUGUGCUCACGCAGUUUCGAGGCAAGAGAUCUCGAGGAUCUUCUGAUGUCUAUGAGGGAAUGGAAGAGCAGGGGAAGGAAAAGAGUCAGAAGGCAGACAAUUUGGGAACAGCUGUCACACAUGGGGAACUGCUGCACGAAUUCUCCUCUCUAUGCCAUUGAGGCCACUUCUCUGCGCACCAAUGUGCUCUGCUGAUGCCGGAAGAGUAAGGUCAUAUUUUCUUUGUAAAUGGUAGGGGAAGGAAAUGGCCUAAGUGACACAGUCGGACCUGCGGGCACGUCAGACCCAUGGCCCAGAGGAGGAGGGCUGUGCUCCCACUGCCUGGGGCUGUCCGUGUAGUAGGAUCUCUGCUGCAGAGCCGGAACAGGAGACGGUGACACGGAGCAGAGCCGGCCCUGGAAGCCCACGGGCUCCACAAUGGCGGGAACGUGAGAGCUUGCCCCCAAACCCGAAGGAUUUUGCCCCGCUCUGGGCGGCUGCGGUGCCCGGGCUGCCGUGCACGGAGCUCGACCGCCCCCGCCCGGCCAGAGCACUGCUCUUCUGUGACAGCUCGGAAGAAAGAAACGUUUUCACCGCAGCACAUCCGGGAGCGCAUUCCGACCUGCGCUUUGGUGCGCACUGGCAGGCUGACUUCUGCAGCCUGAACACUUUUUGUUCCCCUCCAGCUUGAGUUUGCUUCCCCCAUCUGCAGCUAGCACAGCUGCGAGCAGCCCUGGCUUGGAAACUCCCCACCCCAUGCCAACUGCUGAGGAGCUGUGAGAUGGUGAACACAGGAGUGUGACCAGUCUGCCUGGGUGUGCUGUGUUUGGAGCUCUGAUACAGCCUCAGCAAAGCUCUUUAACCCUCUAGGCCCUACAGCUCCGGGGGUUGUGUAUGUCUGUGGAGCUCUUACUCUGGGGCUGAGGGGCUGAGUUGGGUGCUGUGUGCACAUACGCAGCUGUGUGCUGAGCCAGGUGCUCUGCGGGCACACAAAAGGUGCUCAGCUCCACCCCAGCAGUGCUGAGGAGUGAUCCCUCACUCUGGAGGUGAUGUGCUCUGGUGCUGCUGGAUGCUGACUGAAGUCGCAUUCACAGCUCACAGAAAAGGUGUCUUUAGGUGUUCUGCUUUCUUUAAAAACUGACAAGGGGCUUUCAGAAAUUAAAGUACACAGUAUUGAACAGCUGGGUGUUUGUCUUGAAUCUCUCCUCAACAGCUACUCAGGAGAGCUCCAAAGACCCACCUGGUUCCUGCGGAUCACUGAUGUGGGUUUCCUGAGUUGUAUUCAGUAUUUGAUUGAGAAACAAGGGCCCUCUACCAGACUCAAUAUGUGGCAAGACUUAAAAGGUCUUUUAUUCUAUAUUUUUGUGCACACUUUUAAGAGAACACAAACCCAACAUACUUCCAUCAUGAGGUGGCUUGUAGCCCUGGUUAACGUUUGCCUCAUGCUUUGAUGGAGACAGCAGACUGGUUCCAGAUAUGUCACAGGGCCCUUCACAACCCCACUUUUUUUGUGUGUGUGUGUGGCUCUCUGAAGCUCAGUGCCAUCAGCAGCCUGUCACCUGAGGGUCUGAACUGGGGCAGGAGUCCCUGGUGACUGAGCACAUGAUUCCUUUGUGCUGCUCACUUCCUGCAGCACCUGGGUAGGGAUUUCCCCUGAAACAGCUGUGAGCAAUCUCAGUUUGGGGCUAAUGAAGCUCUGAGGAUUUAAAGGAACAUUUAUGCAAAAUGUUGUCUCCUGCAGUGCUCUGUUUGAGGGAUGGGUGGUUGAUGAGAAUGUUAUGGCUGGAGGAGCCUCAUUCAGUUGACACAGCAGUAGAAUUGUGAUAGAGGGCAGAGAGGAGGGGCUGAGUAAGGCAGAUCCUGAGCGAGGACCAAGGCCGGCGUUGGGCCUUCAGGAUGCAGCAGCACCUGAUGCUUCCAUGGCCCACAGCUUCUGCUCCUUUCAUCCACUGCAGAAACCACGCAGAGUGCCAGAGAGCUCAGUGCAGUCACUGCCUCAGGGCUGGGUCCUGAGGUGUCCAACCGUACGACUCUGGGACUCUAUGAGGCGAUGGUUUCGCUGAUCUGAACGUACCAACUGUGACCAGAGCCGAACAGUGCCAUGCAGUGCUGGGCCGUGUCUGAGGUGGCUGGGGCGGUUCUGGGGUUGAAGUGUUUGGUUACAGCAGGCGUUGUGGUCUUCUAAAUGAGAACCACCGCAAGGCCCUCAGACCUAACAACGGGCGCCAGGAAAUAGAACGACAAGAGAAAAGCGAACCGCCCUCAGUCGGAUUUGCGCGAACACGGGGCGAGGCCGCUUCCGGGCAGGCGCGAAGCGCCGCUCCCGCGCUGCAGGGAUUCGAACCAGGCCCCGCCCCAACCUGGCGGUGGGUGGGACUUGUUCCGCAUUGGCUUGUAGGGAUUACGCAGCGCGCUCCUAUUGGCUGGAGCACACCGGGCUGGGAGGCGGGGAGAGAGGCGAUGUUUUAAAAGGCGACGGGAGCGGCCGCCAUUUUGUGUGGGAGGCAGAGAAACGGCAGAGUGGUAGGUUUCUGCUGCGCGAGGGUUCGGGGAAGUGACGGCGGAGAGCGGCGGGAUCGGUUCGGAAGAGCCCGCUUGUGUCUGUGGCUGCAGGCGGACGGGAAGGACAGAAGUCGUUGGACUUCUCCCCUUGGAGUAUAGAGCCGAGAAUCCGAUGUUGGGCUCGGCUGCCUGGCUGAAUACAGCGGAUCGGCCCAUGAAAACCUCUGUUCCUAGCCAAAGGAAGGAGUCUAGCGAAAGGCAGCACCUACUCUUUCAGGCUUGGAAGCAAGAAAGGGGGCAGGAAUUGGA